CGCGUGCAGGAUGAAGGCUUCGGGUUGUAAACUGCUUUUGUACGGAACGAAAAAGUUCUCUCUAAUAAAGAGGGCUCAUGACGGUACCGUAAGAAUAAGCACCGGCUAACUACGUGCCAGCAGCCGCGGUAAUACGUAGGGUGCGAGCGUUAAUCGGAAUUACUGGGCGUAAAGCGUGCGCAGGCGGUUAUGUAAGACAGAUGUGAAAUCCCCGGGCUCAACCUGGGACCUGCAUUUGUGACUGCAUAGCUAGAGUACGGUAGAGGGGGAUGGAAUUCCGCGUGUAGCAGUGAAAUGCGUAGAUAUGCGGAGGAACACCGAUGGCGAAGGCAAUCCCCUGGACCUGUACUGACGCUCAUGCACGAAAGCGUGGGGAGCAAACAGGAUUAGAUACCCUGGUAGUCCACGCCCUAAACGAUGUCAACUGGUUGUUGGGUCUUC
rnacentral:rRNA from 1 species